rnacentral:rRNA from 1 species
CCUACGGGGGGCAGCAGUGGGGAAUAUUGCACAAUGGGCGAAAGCCUGAUGCAGCGACGCCGCGUGAGCGAAGAAGGCCUUCGGGUCGUAAAGCUCUGUCCUAUUGGAAGAAAGAUGACGGUACCAUAGGAGGAAGCCCCGGCUAACUACGUGCCAGCAGCCGCGGUCAUACGUAGGGGGCGAGCGUUGUCCGGAAUGACUGGGCGUAAAGGGUACGUAGGCGGCUAGAUAAGUCAGAUGUGAAAGGCAUAGGCUUAACCUGUGUAAGCAUGUGAAACUGUCUAGCGUGAGUCAAAGAGAGGAAAGUGGAAAUCCUGGUGUAGUGGUGUAAUGCGUAGAUACCAGGAGGAUUACCAGUGGCGAAGGCGACUGUCUGGACUUAGACUGACGCUGAGGUAUGAAAGCGUGGGGAGCAAACAGGAUUAGAUACCCUGGUAGUC